rnacentral:Y_RNA from 1 species
GGCUGGUUGGAAGGCAGUGAGUUAUCUCAAUCGAUUAUUCACAGUCAGCUGCAGAUCAAACUCCUUGUUCUAUUCCUUCCUCCCUUCUCACUACAGCUUUUUAGUCUUAA